rnacentral:rRNA from 1 species
UACAGAGGUCCCAAGCGUUGUUCGGAUUCACUGGGCGUAAAGGGUGCGCAGGUGGUUUGGCAAGUUUGACGUGAAAGCCCCGGGCUUAACCCGGGAAUGGCGUUGAAAACUGCUUGAACUGGAGGGUCGGAGGGGGACUGGAAUUCUUGGUGGAGCAGUGAAAUGCGUAGAUAUCAAGAGGAACACCAGUGGCGAAGGCGAGUCCCUGGACGAUACCUGACACUGAGGCACGAAAGCCAAGGGAGCAAACAGG